GUGUGUUACAAGCCUCUGCUCAUCAUCACUUGACAAAGUAGAGCUUGCCCAUGACAUGAAGGACAGCGACGAAAGCAAUGAAACCGAUGCUCAUAACAAGUACAACAUUAGGUGCGUCUUCCGUGUAGAACUGAAGCAUGGAUCCCGCAGCACCACCAGAGGCUCCUCCUCCUCCACUUCCACUAGGCUUCCUCCUUCGCAUGCUAGCAGCUGCACUUCCUCUCUGUGGAGCUCCACUUCGUCAAUCACGAUAUUAACUGAAUCAAACAGAUACACCCGAGGCUGGAUCGUACAUCAACGAAAGCAAAUAAAACCUCACCUUGAUUUGGCGUUAGAGUUCUGAUGUCGUCGAGAACGAUAACGUUAGAAAAAUGCCUCAUUAUUUUUUAGAAGCAUGCAACUUUUUUUUUUGGUAAAAUAGAAGCAUGCAACUUCAGAAUACAUUUUAAUUAUGAUUAUUUGGAAUGGAUAAUUCCGUAAAAUUUCAUAAUAUAUUCACCAGUUAUAACGAACUUUAAAAAUAUAUUUUCAAAGAUACAGUAAAAUAAACCGAGAACUGGAUUGAAAGACACCCCAUGGUUGCAAACAUCAGCAUCAACUUGUAUUGCUAACUAAUUGCCAAAGAACCAAAGCCCUCGAAAACAAGAGACAACAUGAGAUUACAUCUUUCGCAUUUGAAACCAAACCAAAAAUUAGUCUUGGUCAUGUUUUAGACGUUAUUAUUAAUAGUGUAAUAUUGCUCCAUCAUCUAAGAACGCAAGAGAGUAGUCAAAUCGUAAACAGAAAAAUGGGUCUUGAGUUUCCUCAUACGGAGAUACCGUAGUUGCUGAUCUUGUUCACUUCCUUUGUCAAAGCCUUUCUCUCUUGCUUUACUUCAGAAGCACGGUUCGAUAUCUGAGGUUGAACAAGUUAGAUAUACUCCAUUACACUCCUAUAUUAAAACCUAGAAGAGCAGAUAGACGAGUAUACUUACUUGAGAACGGAAUCGAGAAGCUUCUCUCGUGGGCAAUUCUUUAAGUACAUCUUUUAAACCUGUAUAUUAUUACAACAAAUCAAUGGUGGUAUACUAUAAGUCGAUAACCUUUGUCAGGGAGAGAGUAUUUUUCUUCUGUUCGAUGCAUAUAUAUCUCUGGUUUACCAAACUGUGUGAGUUCAAGACAGAAAGAUAUAAACCAUACCUGCUGCUUGCUUCUCAAUCUUAUAAGCUGAUUGGACCACACCUCGUAUCUGUUUGCCUGCUUGUCUGAUUAAGAGGAUAAAGAGAGUUAAUAUAACAUUCAUGUUGAUACAUAUCCGAUAUACAGAUCAUUUGUCAUGAUCAUAUAAACCUCAGUUUCAUCCUUCCUCUGAUCAACUCAUCUUCUGCCACAGUAGCAACUCUCUGAAACAAUCAAAGUGGUUAAGAAUUUCAAAACCAUAAUCCAAAAGACUGUUAUUACCCCCAUUGACUAAAUAAGUAUAUAUACUAUAUAUAUAUAUCAAUCACAUUCAAGCCCAAUCAACGUAAGUACAUUGCAGAAAGAAAAGAUGAGACUCAAGUAACACAACUAUAUAAUUUCUCUGAAAGUAUAAGUAUUUAGAGCAACACCAUCCUUAAGCUACAUAGAGAGUUCUCUGUUCAAACCUGAUUCCUUUUCAUACCAAACACAUGACAUUCUACUUCAAGCUAACUAACAGCAUAUAUAGGAAGUCUACACAGCAAACGGUAACCCUCAAGCCGAGAAAAGAAACUAACCUCUAACUUUUCACUUUCGGCUGUAAGACGAUCCAAUGAUUGCCUUAGCUCUUUCACUCUAAGAUCAGCUCUAGAAAGCAAAGCCUGCAAAUCCAAAACACAGAGACUCAAGACUCAACAACAACGUAUACAUUAUUCAACUAUGAUGAUGUAAAACAACACUGACCUCUUCGGUUGAGAACAUGCGUACAGCAUUGUAGUAUAAAAAUCUUCUCGUCUCUGCAAAAACAAACAUAGCAUUCACCAACAGUGCAUUGAAUUGAACUCUUUAAGAGAGUAUAAGAGAAUAUCAAGAAAACAUACUUUUCAGAGCAAAGAUCCCAACACCAAAGGCUAAACCGCCUGAUACUAGAGGAUGAGAUGCAGCAACGUUUACACCAUCUGCAUACAAACAUUGAAUCAUCACAUCACAACCACGAGAGUAUAGCAAAGCACUGAGUGUAGAAACAAACCUUUGAUCUUCGCAAACACCAUAUGCUCGUACACGUUAUACUCAGAAGCAAUCUCUCUAAUCGAAUCCUAUAAUCCCAAAAACAAAAAUCACUCGAAUCACAUUGAGAAUCAUCAUAUGCUCUUUCAGAUUCGCUAAGCUUACGAUUGUUUGGCUCGUGUGAGCUAUGGAGGUAUCUCGAAUCUGAGCUAAUCGAGAUUUCGAGGCGUCGAUUUUGGAAUCUAGCGUCUCCACGAUCGUGGUCUGGUACACGAGCGCCUGGCGCAUGGUCUCGUCGAUCCAGGAAGCUGCGUUUUCCACCGUCGUCGUUGCGAUCUUAGCGCUUGGAAUCGAAGAGAGGAGAGGAUGCGGUGGCGGAGAUUGUGGAAUCGCCGGAGAGGGCGCGUCUUCCAUUAUCUCUGAGGAUGAGGAUGAUUCUCCUGAAGUUGCCAUUAGCGAGAAAGAUCUCUGACCUCUCUCUCCUUCGCUCAAAGUUUACUACCCGGUGAAUGGAAUAGAAAUGACCCGAAUAUAAAACUCGGGCCCCGUUCGUUUCAAAUAGAUUAUUUACAGCUUAAGCCCCUCAACUUCUAUUUUCUUGGGCCCCGUUUCAAAUAGAUUAUUUACAUCUUAAGCCCCUUAACUUCUCUAUAUUCUCGACAUUCCCCUUUUUUAUUCCUUAAGGGUCCAAAUAACCCAAGAAAUCUCUCAUAUCACAGGUUAAUUUAUAUCAUUCAAUAUGUGAGUUUGCAGUUCAUUCUGUUAUUCCUGAACUUCUGUUUAGUUUUCAAGAUUUCCCUUUUUAUUUCUUAUUUGUUUAAUUAACCCCAGAAAUCUUCAUAUCACAGGUUAAUGUAUCAUUCAAUAUGUGAUUUUGCAAUUCAUUCUUAAAUUUCCCCUUUUAACCCUCAACUUCUGUUUAGUUUUCAACAUUUCCCUUUUUCUUUCUUAUUUGUUUAAUUAAACCCACAAAUCUUCAUUUCAUAGGUUAAUUUAUCUCUGAAUAUGUGAGUUUGUAUUUUUUCCUUCAAAUUAAAAGAAGAACAUGGAAACUUUGAAUGACAAGAGAGUGGAGUUUUCAAGAUGGUUUAUAUUCCAAAAAAAAUUAAAAAACAUGAGUUAAAACCAUUCUGAUCACUAGCAAAUUUAGCCUCAUGUUUUAUGUGUGUUACAAAGCCUCUCUGCUAAUCAUCACUUGACAAAGUAGAGCUUGCCCAUGACAUGAAGGACAGCGACAAAAGCAAUGAAACCGAUGCUCAUAACAAGUACAACAUUAGGGGAGAUCUUGAGACCCGGUGCGUCAUCAGUGUAGAACUGAAGCAUGGAUCCCGCCGCACCACCAGAGGCUCCUCCUCCUCUUCCACCACUUCCACUAGGCUUCCUCCUACGCAUGCUUGCAGCU
rnacentral:lncRNA from 1 species